GGUUAAGCGACUAAGCGUACACGGUGGAUGCCCUGGCAGUCAGAGGCGAUGAAGGACGUGCUAAUCUGCGAAAAGCGUCGGUAAGGUGAUAUGAACCGUUAUAACCGGCGAUGUCCGAAUGGGGAAACCCAGUGCAAUUCGUUGCACUAUCGUUAACUGAAUACAUAGGUUAACGAGGCGAACCGGGGGAACUGAAACAUCUAAGUACCCCGAGGAAAAGAAAUCAACCGAGAUUCCCCCAGUAGCGGCGAGCGAACGGGGAGCAGCCCAGAGUCUGAAUCAGCUUGUGUGUUAGUGGAACGGUCUGGAAAGUCCGACGGUACAGGGUGAUAGUCCCGUACACCAAAAUGCACAGGCUGUGAACUCGAAGAGUAGGGCGGGACACGUGGUAUCCUGUCUGAAUAUGGGGGGACCAUCCUCCAAGGCUAAAUACUCCUGACUGACCGAUAGUGAACCAGUACCGUGAGGGAAAGGCGAAAAGAACCCCGGCGAGGGGAGUGAAAAAGAACCUGAAACCGUGUACGUACAAGCAGUGGGAGCACCUUCGGGUGUGACUGCGUACCUUUUGUAUAAUGGGUCAGCGACUUAUAUUCUGUAGCAAGGUUAACCGUAUAGGGGAGCCGCAGGGAAACCGAGUCUUAACUGGGCGUUAAGUUGCAGGGUAUAGACCCGAAACCCGGUGAUCUAGCCAUGGGCAGGUUGAAGGUUGGGUAACACUAACUGGAGGACCGAACCGACUAAUGUUGAAAAAUUAGCGGAUGACUUGUGGCUGGGGGUGAAAGGCCAAUCAAACCGGGAGAUAGCUGGUUCUCCCCGAAAGCUAUUUAGGUAGCGCCUCGUGAAUUCAUCUUCGGGGGUAGAGCACUGUUUCGGCUAGGGGGUCAUCCCGACUUACCAACCCGAUGCAAACUACGAAUACCGAAGAAUGUUAUCACGGGAGACACACGGCGGGUGCUAACGUCCGUCGUGAAGAGGGAAACAACCCAGACCGCCAGCUAAGGUCCCAAAGUCAUGGUUAAGUGGGAAACGAUGUGGGAAGGCACAGACAGCCAGGAUGUUGGCUUAGAAGCAGCCAUCAUUUAAAGAAAGCGUAAUAGCUCACUGGUCGAGUCGGCCUGCGCGGAAGAUGUAACGGGGCUAAACCAUGCACCGAAGCUGCGGCAGCGACACUAUGUGUUGUUGGGUAGGGGAGCGUUCUGUAAGCCUGCGAAGGUGACCUGUGAGGGUUGCUGGAGGUAUCAGAAGUGCGAAUGCUGACAUAAGUAACGAUAAAGCGGGUGAAAAGCCCGCUCGCCGGAAGACCAAGGGUUCCUGUCCAACGUUAAUCGGGGCAGGGUGAGUCGACCCCUAAGGCGAGGCCGAAAGGCGUAGUCGAUGGGAAACAGGUUAAUAUUCCUGUACUUGGUGUUACUGCGAAGGGGGGACGGAGAAGGCUAUGUUAGCCGGGCGACGGUUGUCCCGGUUUAAGCAUGUAGGCUGGUUGUCCAGGCAAAUCCGGAUAAUCAAGGCUGAGGUGUGAUGACGAGGCACUACGGUGCUGAAGUAACAAAUGCCCUGCUUCCAGGAAAAGCCUCUAAGCAUCAGGUAACAUUAAAUCGUACCCCAAACCGACACAGGUGGUCAGGUAGAGAAUACCAAGGCGCUUGAGAGAACUCGGGUGAAGGAACUAGGCAAAAUGGUGCCGUAACUUCGGGAGAAGGCACGCUGGUGUGUAGGUGAAGUCCCUGCGGAUGGAGCUGAGACCAGUCGAAGAUACCAGCUGGCUGCAACUGUUUAUUAAAAACACAGCACUGUGCAAACACGAAAGUGGACGUAUACGGUGUGACGCCUGCCCGGUGCCGGAAGGUUAAUUGAUGGGGUUAUCCGUAAGGAGAAGCUCUUGAUCGAAGCCCCGGUAAACGGCGGCCGUAACUAUAACGGUCCUAAGGUAGCGAAAUUCCUUGUCGGGUAAGUUCCGACCUGCACGAAUGGCGUAAUGAUGGCCAGGCUGUCUCCACCCGAGACUCAGUGAAAUUGAACUCGCUGUGAAGAUGCAGUGUACCCGCGGCAAGACGGAAAGACCCCGUGAACCUUUACUAUAGCUUGACACUGAACAUUGAGCCUUGAUGUGUAGGAUAGGUGGGAGGCUUUGAAGCGUGGACGCCAGUCUGCGUGGAGCCAACCUUGAAAUACCACCCUUUAAUGUUUGAUGUUCUAACGUUGGCCCCUUACCGGGGUUGCGGACAGUGUCUGGUGGGUAGUUUGACUGGGGCGGUCUCCUCCCAAAGCGUAACGGAGGAGCACGAAGGUUAGCUAAUCCUGGUCGGACAUCAGGAGGUUAGUGCAAUGGCAUAAGCUAGCUUGACUGCGAGCGUGACGGCGCGAGCAGGUGCGAAAGCAGGUCAUAGUGAUCCGGUGGUUCUGAAUGGAAGGGCCAUCGCUCAACGGAUAAAAGGUACUCCGGGGAUAACAGGCUGAUACCGCCCAAGAGUUCAUAUCGACGGCGGUGUUUGGCACCUCGAUGUCGGCUCAUCACAUCCUGGGGCUGAAGUAGGUCCCAAGGGUAUGGCUGUUCGCCAUUUAAAGUGGUACGCGAGCUGGGUUUAGAACGUCGUGAGACAGUUCGGUCCCUAUCUGCCGUGGGCGCUGGAGAAUUGAGGGGGGCUGCUCCUAGUACGAGAGGACCGGAGUGGACGCAUCACUGGUGUUCGGGUUGUCAUGCCAAUGGCACUGCCCGGUAGCUAAAUGCGGAAGAGAUAAGUGCUGAAAGCAUCUAAGCACGAAACUUGCCCCGAGAUGAGUUCUCCCUGAGACUUUAAGUCUCCUGAAGGAACGUUAAAGACGAUGACGUUGAUAGGCCGGGUGUGUAAGCGCAGCGAUGCGUUGAGCUAACCGGUACUAAUGAACCGUGAGGCUUAACCUU
rnacentral:rRNA from 1 species